AGAGUUUGAUCAUGGCUCAGAACGAACGCUGGCGGCGUGCUUAACACAUGCAAGUCGAACGCGAAAAUUUUUCUUCGGAAAAGAAAAGUAGAGUGGCGCACGGGUGAGUAACGCGUAAGUUAUCUACCCCGGCAUUCUGGAAUAACUCACCGAAAAGGUGUGCUAAUACCGGAUACGUUGAGAGAUCAAGAAAAGGUGGCCUCUGCAUAUGCUACCGUGCUGGGAUGAGCUUGCGUACCAUUAGCUAGUUGGCAGGGUAAUGGCCUACCAAGGCGACGAUGGUUAGCGGGUCUGAGAGGAUGAUCCGCCACACUGGAACUGGAACACGGACCAGACUCCUACGGGAGGCAGCAGUGAGGAAUAUUGCGCAAUGGGGGAAACCCUGACGCAGCGACGCCGCGUGGAUGAUGAAGGCCUUCGGGUCGUAAAAUCCUGUCAGGUGGAAAGAAGUGCAUACAUGAUAA
rnacentral:rRNA from 1 species